UCCUGAGGCCGCCCCAGAAGCAGAAGCCGCUAUGUUUCCUCUACAGCCUGCAGAACGUUAUCCCAUUCUUUCCACCACUGGACUUUCUUGGACCCCUUCUUGAAAAUCAAUUUGCCGGAAAGGUGGGAAUACGAGAAGAGGAGCCUGCAGCCUGGAAGGUCCUUGCCAGAGCCUGACCAUAUGGACACCCUGAUCUCAGAGUUCACACCUCCAGAAUUGAGAGAAAUAAGUUUCUGUCAUUGAUAAGCCACCAAGUCUAUGGUACUCUGUUAUAGAAGCCUAAACUAAGACAGUCCCCUGAAUUUGUUCUUUCUCAGUGUUGCUUUGUAUUUUAUUGAGGGUCAUUUGCACUUUGAAAUAAACUUUAGGAUCCACUUGUUAAUUUGUGAAAAAAAAGGUCAUUGGAA